UAAUCAGAGGUUCCUGCAGAAGAACUUGAAGCUGAGCCCUGCAGACAUGUACCGCUGGAAACUGUCUUCUCAGGAACCCUGCUCCUCCACCUGCUCUAUAGGAGUGUCAAAGUCUUUGCCAUGUGUGUUCGCUACGACGGCGCUGAGGUGAAUGACAUGCACUGUGACACUAUGACCCGACCUGAGCCUGUUCAUGACUUCUGCAUUGGGGGAGUGUCAGCCCAGGUGGGAGGCGAGCAGCUGGAGUGAGUGUUCUCGUACCUGUGGUGAGGGCUUCCAGUUCCGUCUGGUGCGCUGCUGGAAGAUGCUGUCCCCCGGGCUGGACAGCUCUGUGUACAGUGACCUCUGCA